GUGAGGAAUAUUGGUCAAUGGACGAGAGUCUGAACCAGCCAAGUAGCGUGAAGGAUGACUGCCCUAUGGGUUGUAAACUUCUUUUAUAUGGGAAUAAAGUGAGCCACGUGUGGCUUUUUGUAUGUACCAUACGAAUAAGGAUCGGCUAACUCCGUGCCAGCAGCCGCGGUAAUACGGAGGAUCCGAGCGUUAUCCGGAUUUAUUGGGUUUAAAGGGAGCGUAGGCGGACUAUUAAGUCAGCUGUGAAAGUUUGCGGCUCAACCGUAAAAUUGCAGUUGAUACUGGUCGUCUUGAGUGCAGUAGAGGUAGGCGGAAUUCGUGGUGUAGCGGUGAAAUGCUUAGAUAUCACGAAGAACUCCGAUUGCGAAGGCAGCUUACUGGACUGUAACUGACGCUGAUGCUCGAAAGUGUGGGUAUCAAACAGGA
rnacentral:rRNA from 1 species